rnacentral:rRNA from 1 species
AGUGAACGCUGGCGGCGUGCCUAAUACAUGCAAGUCGAACGGAGUGGCGCACGGGUGAGUAAUGUAUAGCUAAUCUGCCCUACACUAGAGGACAACAGUUGGAAACGACUGCUAAUACUCUAUAGUGUAGGAUGAGGGGAUAUUGUAUCAGCUAGUUGGUGAGGCAAUGGCGCACUAAGGCGAUGACGAAUAACUCGUCUGAGAGGAUGAUCAGUCACACUGGAACGGAGACACGAUCCGGACACCUACGGGAAGCGGCAGUAGGGAGUAGUGCUCAAUGGGCGUGAACCUGAAGCGGCAACGGCGCGUGAAGGACUACACUUUUCGGAGCAUACACUCCUGUUGUUAGCGAAGCGGUACCUAACGAAUAAGCACCGGCUAACUCCGUGCCAGCAGCCGCGGUAAUAC